UUCGGCGCUUCAACUCAAACCAUCGCGUCCCUUACUGGCCGACCAUCGCGUUGCUUCAUCAAGAACGUGGCCAACCAUCACGUCCCUUCAUCAUCGCCACCGGCCAACCAUGGCGUUGCUUCAUCAACACCAAAUACACACGUUUAACUACCAACCGUCAAGCAACCAUCGUACCUCCUCGGCCGAACAGGCACAUACCACAACAUAAAUAUAAUAAACUCACAGGGUCAGUGGCUAUUACUGGUCGAUGUUCUAGGGUCUCUUUGCCGGAAAAUUUUCACAAAAUGAUGAAUUUUAUCUCUAAGUUCACCGUCCCCCCCCCCCCCCCAAUUCUGCAUAUACAGAGUUCAUGGUAAUGGCAAUCGAGAUUUGAUUGUUGAAGGGUGUUUCCCCCUUGGUGCAGGUUCGGAUGGUAUCCAAAGGUGUGUUUAUUUGAGACGUCAUUUUUGGUAGACCGGAUUUUAAAGAGGUUUGAGGAGAAGGGCAAAUUAAGGCUGUUAAAAGUGCAUUAAGGAUCGUUGAAGUUGGUUUUGGAUAUAUUUCUGGCGAACGAAGUUUUUAAUAUAAACCAAUAGAAACUUUCUUCGAACAGGUUUGAGAUGCGAAAACUUAUUUGUAGGAGUAUUUUCAAGUAUAGACCAGAAUCCAACAUGUUUUUAUAUUUCUUAGGGGGGUUUAUGUUAUGA
rnacentral:lncRNA from 1 species